CGAGCGGAACGAUGGUAGCUUGCUACCAGGCGUCGAGCGGCGGACGGGUGAGUAAUGCUUAGGAAUCUGCCCAGUAGUGGGGGAUAGCCCGGGGAAACCCGGAUUAAUACCGCAUACGCCCUUUUGGGGAAAGCAGGGGAUCUUCGGACCUUGCGCUAUUGGAUGAGCCUAAGUCGGAUUAGCUAGUUGGUGGGGUAAAGGCUCACCAAGGCGACGAUCCGUAGCUGGUCUGAGAGGAUGAUCAGCCACAUCGGGACUGAGACACGGCCCGAACUCCUACGGGAGGCAGCAGUGGGGAAUAUUGGACAAUGGGGGCAACCCUGAUCCAGCCAUGCCGCGUGUGUGAAGAAGGCUUUCGGGUUGUAAAGCACUUUCAGUGAGGAGGAAGGCCUUAAGAUUAAUACUCUUAAGGAUUGACGUCACUCACAGAAGAAGCACCGGCUAACUCCGUGCCAGCAGCCGCGGUAAUACGGAGGGUGCAAGCGUUAAUCGGAAUUACUGGGCGUAAAGCGCGCGUAGGUGGUUGAGUAAGCGAGAUGUGAAAGCCCCGGGCUUAACCUGGGAACGGCAUUUCGAACUGCUCGACUAGAGUGUGGUAGAGGGUAGUGGAAUUUCCUGUGUAGCGGUGAAAUGCGUAGAUAUAGGAAGGAACACCAGUGGCGAAGGCGGCUACCUGGACCAACACUGACACUGAGGUGCG
rnacentral:rRNA from 1 species